rnacentral:rRNA from 1 species
UACGAAGGGGGCUAGCGUUGCUCGGAAUCACUGGGCGUAAAGGGCGCGUAGGCGGUUUGACAAGUCUGAUGUGAAAUCUCUGGGCUCAACCCAGAGUCUGCAUUAGAAACUGUCGGGCUUGAGUAUGGGAGAGGUGAGUGGAAUUUCCGGUGUAGCGGUGAAAUGCGUAGAUAUCGGAAGGAACACCUGUGGCGAAAGCGGCUCACUGGACCAUAACUGACGCUGAGGCGCGAAAGCUAGGGGAGCAAACAGGG